GUCAUAUUAACUCACUUAAGCAGCCAGAUAUAUAGAUGGCACUCAAUUUUCUUCUGAACACCUAACAUUCACCCAAUUGUUACGUAUUUGAGGACUUCCUUUAUAGAUUAUGGUAAGAUAUAUAUGAUCUAUAGAUUGAUAUCAGGACUAUAAUGUAUGUGGGGCAGCAUCUGUUCUCCAGAAAUGCUCAAAAUUAAAAUGAUUAAGAUCUUAAGAAAGUGUUCAGAAAUAAAAUGUUUUGAAUGAAAACAGCAAUGAAUCAUUGUCAUAGAGAGCUUUCAGAGUUGUCAAUGACUAAACAGCACAGAUCCCCCAAAAGGAAUUAGCAGAUGCAAAAGGCUUUGUUUCAGGUUUGGUUCAAAGAGGUUCCCAGAUUUGGAAAAUGCAUAUUAGAAUUACCUGAGCUUCUCUAGCAAGCACAUCAUAUAAUAAUUUCACAAGUAGUGGCUGUUUUCUUAAGAUUUCUGGAAAUUACUGUCCUGACUGACCUUAAUAUGAGAACAUUUUGGUGAUAUUUCAACAUUUCUGGUUCUGGCAGCAAAAUGUGGAAAAAGAAUCAUCACCUUACGCUUAGUUGAAUGUUUCUUUAAAUAAAAGGCUUAGUUUGCAUUUGGUUGUGAUGCAGUAUGGAGAAUGUGAGACCGUUUUUUCCAAACAAGAUUGCUCAUUCCUACAGGAAAUGACCUCAUUCUUGAUGGCUGCUGCUAACUUAUGGUGAGAUGCUGGGUCCCUGCCCAAUACCACAUGGACAUCCAAUCAAUUUACCCAGGGACAAGUCCACUCAAGAGCAUCAUUUAGAAGAGGGAAAAGGCACUGGGGUUAUUUGUUUUUGGAGUAUGUGCUUAAGGAAAUCUAGAGUAUUCCCACGAGCAUUCUGCUGAGAUGAACAAUCAGAUGACCUCGUGUGAGAUUUGGAGGAGAGAAGGAAAUGGAGAGCAUGCGUCUGCCGCUUCUGUGGUUUCUGUCGGUAAGCACAGUGAUGAGGUGCUGAGUUUUCCCCAGAAGGCCUCCCAGUGUCCUAUUACCAGCUUCACAAGCGUCGAGGGCAGGGCAUGGGCAUCUAUUGUUCACCAGUGGAGAUCUAUCUGGCACAGAACCGAUCCAACCAUUGCAGUGGUCACAGCGGUGUUGGCUUUCUGAUUCUCAACCUUCCUGACCGCCAGAGGAGACAGCCUCUUUGGUGGCCCUGUUCUGUGGUAUUGUGCUAACCGGUGGUGGGACUAAAACUGUCUCUAUAAUGUUUUAUUUCUUAAAAAAAAAUUCUGAAGCAAAUGUGACAAUAUGUUAACAUUCUUAAAAUCUGGGUAGUGGGAACAUGGAUGUUGUUAUUUGUGGUGUGUUUGAAAUUGUGUCAUAUUAUAAAUUUUAAAAAAAUGUUUUGACUACAAAAUCUCUAUGUAUAUGCCCAGUUUUUGUAGAUUGUUGCUUACGCUUUUCAUAUUUUUACCCAAGGAGUAAUCAGGAAUUCUAAAAGUCUUAUGUAACAGGAUUUAAAAUAAAAUUACACAGAAUCUCAACUGUACUAUAUUUUGAAAAUAUGAAUGAUUAAGAUUAUUUUUUAUAUUUUUAUUAAUAUAGAGAAAAUAAUUUCUAUAAAAUAUGCUUUCAGCUAAUGGGGGAUCCCAUUCCAUAUUUUUUUCUUUUUCUUUUUUUUUUUUAUUUCUCCAAGAAAAACUCAUUCCAGUUCUUUUGCAUUAAAUUCUCUUAUACCAAAAAAAUUGUUUCAAAAGUUGCUUAGUUGUUAUAGAAGAUGAUUGCUUAUAUGAUAAAGAAAUGUUAAGGCCUUGAUAAUAUUCAAAAGCUUCUGUAUAAAAACAAUACCAUGGAAAUUAAUGACAGAGUAAACUUUCUGAAUUAAAGUUCUCUUUCAAACUAUGAGUAAGAGGAGAAUUAGCUGGCUUCUUUUUUCUUUUUUUUGAGGCAGGGUCUUGCUCUGUCACCCAGGCUCAAUCACAGCUCACUGCAGCCUUGACCUCCUGGGCUCAGGUGAUUUUCCCACCUUAGCCUCCUGAGUAGCUGGGACCACAGGCAUGAGCCACCACACCUGGCUAAUUUUUGUAUUAUUUUGGUAGAGAUGGGAUUUCGCCAUGUUGCCCAAGCUGGUCACAAACUUCCUGCCUUGGCCUCCCAAAGUGCUGGGAUUACAGGCAUGAGCCACUAUGCCCAACCUCAGUUGGAUGGGUUUGUGUGUAUGUGUGUGUGUGUUUUGUUUGUUUUUUAGUUUUUGAGACAGAGUCUCACUCUGUCACCCAGGCUGGAGUGCAGUGGCACAAUCACGGCUCACUGCAGCCAUGACCUCUUGUGCUCAGGCAGUUCUCCUGCCUCAGCCUCCUUAGUAGCUGGAACCACAGGUAUGUGCCACCACACCCGGCUAAUUUUUGUAUUUUUUUGUAGAGAUGGGUUUUCGCUAUGUUGCCCAGGCUGGUCUCAAAUUCCUGGGCUCAAACAAUCCACCCACCUCUGCCUCCCAAAGUGCUGGGAUUACAGGUGUGAGCCACCAAGCCCAGCCUAGCUCCUCUACCUGAACUUAUUUUUCAUUAUCCUAAAGUGAUAAAAUAGAUCAAGAAGAUCAGAACAGGCUUAAAUUGAUGCUAUAAAACCAAUUACUCUGUAUUAUCUUUGCAACUCUUUUGUAAGUCUAAAAUUGUUUGAAAAUAAAAGUUUAUUUUAAAAAUUACUAUUCUCUUUCCUAUUCAACACAAAACUUAUUUCAUAAAGAUGCUUAC
rnacentral:lncRNA from 1 species